AGUUCCUGCCGGGCAGGCUGGGUAGCCGGACUCCCAGCUGCGCCGUCUUCACGGAAGCGGUGCUGAUGCGGGACCUGGGGGACUGCGGUGCUGGGGACUGGCCAGUCCUACCGGGGGCGGGGCUUGUGGAAGACUGGGCGGGAUUUUGAAGACCUAGGUCUUGUGGAUGGUGAACUCACUUGGGGCGGGGAGGGAGGUGGGGCUACCCUGGGGUCUUGGGCAAAGUCCUCGCCUGGCCGGCUUCGCUACCCUUGUGCUUGCGUUGCCCACAAGCUUGUAGUCAGAAGAACUCGCCUGGGAGGGAUCGCUCCUGGGAGAUCCGAACGCGGGAGGGCCUGGAGCGCGGCGGCAGCUGGAUAGCAUUCGGGCCCAUCCGAAUAAGCGCUACUUGAGAGGCUGAGGCAGAAGGAUCGCUUGAGACCAGGAGUUUGAGGGUGCAGUGAACUAUGAUGGCGCCACCACACUCCAGCCUGGGAGACAGAGUGAGACCCUGUCUCUAAAAGAAAAAAGAAAAUUCAAGAUACAGAGCCAGACAGGAGCCUGGAUGGCCAUCUUUCUUCUGAUAGCAAUAAGCUGGAUGCUGGGAUAGAAGCCUGAUACCUCCUCCAACCCUAGUCCUUGGCCUCUAGUUUACUCGCCUGAGGCAAGGGUAGAGUGGAGGAAGAUUUAGGGAAAGCAAGUAGUCCGUUUUAUUGUUACGGACCAGAGAGGUUGGGGGUGCAGAUGAAACCAACAUCUGGUAAGGAGUGUGGCUGAUCAGCCUUGGGCUCUGCUUCCUCAUCCCACCUUUGCUUCCUAUCUCUGGAACUCUUCUAGGGGGAGAUUGAGUUACUUAGUAUGGUAUGGGGAGGUGCAGAGGGUAUGGCUAAUAAACAGCCGGGAAUUCUACUUUGUCUGACUCCUUUCUGUGUAAUCCAGAUCUUAUAUUGAGGGGGUUGGGGAUGG
rnacentral:lncRNA from 1 species